GAUGAAGAACGCAGCGAAAUGCGAUACGUAAUGUGAAUUGCAGAAUUCAGUUAAUCAUCGAGUCUUUGAACGCACAUUGCGCCCCCUGGUAUUCCGGGGGGCAUGCCUGUCCGAGCGUCAUUGCUGCCCUCAAGCACGGCUUGUGUGUUGGGCCUCCGUCCUCCUCCCGGGGGACGGGCCCGAAAGGCAGCGGCGGCACCGCGUCCGGUCCUCGAGCGUAUGGGGCUUCGUCACCCGCUCUUGUAGGCCCGGCCGGCGCUUGCCGACACAUCAAUCUUUUUUCCAGGUUGACCUCGGAUCAGGUAGGGAUACCCGCUGAACUUAAGAAUAUCAAUAAGCGGAGGA
rnacentral:misc_RNA from 1 species